UACGUAUGUGGCAAGCGUUGUUCGGAAUAACUGGGCGUAAAGGAUGCGUAGGCGGUUAAACAAGUUAUAUGUUAAAUAUAUAGGCUUAACCUGUAGAAAGCAUAUAAAACUGUUUAACUAGAGUGCAGGAGAGGUAAGUGGAAUUCCUAGUGUAGCGGUGAAAUGCGUAGAGAUUAGGAAGAACACCAGUGGCGAAGGCGACUUACUGGACUGUAACUGACGCUGAGGCAUGAGAGCAUGGGGAGCAAACAGG
rnacentral:rRNA from 1 species